UUACAGGAGUUCGAUGAUCCAAGAUCGUAAAUAUGCACACUCACAAUACAGUUCGUUGCUCUUGAGAUCAAUUCACGCCUCUCAGCGUUACAUGAAAGCCUUCUCCAGAUGCAUACCAUCGAAACCUCUCCGGCCUUGUCUCCCUCCUACUUCCUACCGCUCCGUCGCCGCUCUCCUCCUUCCCGCCUCUUCGGUUCCGCUCCCGAACUCCUCUCCGCCGCACCCAUUGGUCGAAACCUUCGCCAGCCUAUGCCACCGAGGCGCCUUCUCCGACGCCAUCGCUGCCAUGGGUUCCCUCGAGGUUCACGGCCUUCGCGCCGACCCCAUCUCCUACUCAAACCUCAUCAAGCUCUGCAUCAGGAACAAUGCCGUCGACGAAGGCCGGCUCGUCCACCGCCACCUCUCUUCGGACGGUGACCACCCUGAGCUGUUCCUCUCGAACACUUUGAUGAGCAUGUACACGAAAUUUGGCCUCGUAUACGAGGCACGACAGCUGUUCGAUAGAAUGGGUGAGAGAAAUGUAGUGUCCUGGACUACCAUGAUCUCCGUGAUGACGAAUCUCAAGCGGAAUGAAGAAGCCUUAAGGCUUCUGAUCUCUAUGCAAAGGGAAGGGGUGGCUCCCAAUAUGUACACUUUCUCAGCUGUUCUCCGGGCCUGCCAAACAUUAGCGUCCCUCUGGUCGGUUCAUUGUUGCAUUGUUAAGUAUGGUUUGGAAUCGGAUGUCUUCGUCAGGAGCUCUCUCAUUGAUGUCUACUCGAAAUUUGGUGAUCUGGACUACGGAUAUCGGGUUUUUAAGGAGAUGGCGACACGCGACUUGGUGGUUUGGAAUUCCAUUAUCGGUGGCUUUGCGCAGGGCGGAGAUGGAUACAAGGCUAUCAAUCUAUUUGCCCAGAUGAAGAGGGCGGGCUUCUUGGCAAACCAAGGCACGUUGGCCAGUGUUUUGAGAGCUUGCACCGGAAUGGUGCUACUCGAGAUGGGAAGGCAAGUUCAUGUCCAUGUGCUCAAGCAUGAGAGGGAUUUGAUUCUGAACAAUGCGCUGCUAGAUAUGUACUGCAAGUGUGGGAGCUUGGAGGAUGCAGAUGCCGUGUUCCAGAGGAUGUCAGAGAGGGAUGUGAUCUCAUGGAGCACGAUGAUCUCAGGCUUGGCACAGAAUGGAAGAAGCGGUGACGCAUUGAAGCUUUUUGAGUCCAUGAAGAUUUUGGGUCCUAAACCAAACCAUAUCACCAUUGUGGGAGUUCUGUUUGCCUGUAGCCAUGCUGGUCUUGCGGAAGAUGGGUGGUACUACUUCAGGUCUAUGAAGAAACUCUUCGAUCUACAGCCAGGAAGAGAGCACUAUGGUUGCAUGGUCGAUCUGCUUGGAAGAGCUGGGAAGCUCGAGGAAGCUCUCAAGUUUAUCCAGGAUAUGAAUUUUGAACCUGAUACAGUCAUCUGGAGAACACUUCUUGGAGCUUGCAGAGUUCACAAGAAUGCAAAUUUAGCAGCACAUGCAGCUAAGGAGAUUCUUAGAUUACAACCAGAUGAUGAAGGGGCAUAUAUACUCUUAUCCAACAUUUAUGCUGAUUCUCACCGAUGGAAUGAGGUGGAACAGGUGAGGAAAUCCAUGAGAGACCAUCAGGUGAGGAAGGAGCCAGGUCGCAGCUGGAUCGAAGUGGGCAAAAAGAUCCAUGUCUUCAUCGUUGGGGACAUGUCACACCCACGAGCAGAUGGCAUUGAGAAAGAAUUGAGCCGUUUGAUCAGUAGAAUAGCCAACAUAGGGUACGUGCCGGACACAGAUUUUGUGUUGCAUGAUGUAGGAAAAGAGCAGAAGGAAGAAUCACUACGGUACCACAGUGAGAAGCUAGCAAUUGCAUUUGGAGUGUUGAACUCAACCAGAAGUAAGCCGAUCAGGAUAAUGAAGAACCUAAGGAUAUGUGGUGACUGUCACACCUUUGCUAAGCUCGUUGCUAAGUCUGAGGACAUGACCAUCAUAAUAAGGGACCCUGUUCGGUUUCACCAUUUCCAGGAUGGAGCUUGCUCAUGUGGUGAUUACUGGUAAUGGUCCUAAAAGAGCAGCAGAUAAGAUUAAUACUUGGUGACUUUGUUCUGCUCAUUUGUAAUUUGCACCAAAAUAUUUCUUCAGAGUUGACUAGCCGGUGAAUGAUUGAGGUGGUCAUUAGUAACUGGGAAAGUAGUGUCAUGAUCAUGCUACUGCAAUUAGGUGAUGGAUUAUAUAGUGUAAGAUGGACGAAAUAGUCGUGCCUUUUGUCAAUUCAUCCAACAGGAGAACUUCACUAAGAUGGUGAAGCUAACAAGGGAAGCCAGAGACUGAUUACUCUAUGGGCACCAAGUAUACGAGUUAUCAAGGUGCUGCCCUGUGCAGAAUCAACUAUCUCCAGCAUUUAGGACAAAAAACCGAGGAGCAUUAUGUUUUGUUCAUUUUGUUCUAAGGAUUCCAGCUGAAGAGAAUUCUUAUGAUUAUAAAUACAACAGAAUGGCAAUGGUACUUAGUGGAUGAGCUUUCAAGCAGAGGUUUGGCCUAAAUGUGAUGCUUCCGUGAAUGGCCCCCACG